rnacentral:rRNA from 1 species
AAAGUUAGAGGUUCGAAGGCGAUCAGAUACCGCCCUAGUUCUAACCAUAAACGAUGCCAGCCAGCGAUCCGGCUGUGUUCCUCAAAUGACACGCCGGGCAGCUUCCGGGAAACCAAAGCUUUUGGGUUCCGGGGGAAGUAUGGUUGCAAAGCUGAAACUUAAAGGAAUUGACGGAAGGGCACCACCAGGAAUGGAGCCUGCGGCUUAAUUUGACUCAACACGGGAAAACUUACCCGGCCCGGACACAGGAAGGAUUGACAGAUUAAGAGCUCUUUCUUGAUUCUGUGGGUGGUGGUGCAUGGCCGUUCUUAGUUGGUGGAGCGAUUUGUCUGGUUAAUUCCGAUAACGAACGAGACUCUAGCCUACUAAAUAGACGUUCCCAUCCUCUGAGUGGGACGUUCUUCUUAGAGGGACAAGCGGCGUUUAGCCGCACGAGACAGAGCAAUAACAGGUCUGUGAUGCCCUUAGAUGUCCGGGGCCGCACGCGCGCUACAUUGAAGGAAUCAGCGUGUGCUUUCCCGGUCCGACAGGACUGGGUAACCCGUUGAACCUCCUUCGUGCUGGGGAUAGGGRMUUGUAAUUGUUYCCCUUGAACGAGGAAUUCCCAGUAAGCACGAGUCAUAAGCUCGUGUUGAUUACGUCCCUGCCCUUUGUACACACCGCCCGUCGCUACUACCGAUUGAAUGAUUUAGUGAGGUCUUCGGACUGGCGCCCGGAGCGGCCUUCGGGUCGCGCCGGCGUGCCGGAAAGAUGACCAAACUUGAUCAUU